UAGGGAAUAUUGCACAAUGGGCGAAAGCCUGAUGCAGCAACGCCGCGUGCGCGAUGACGGCCUUCGGGUUGUAAAGCGCUUUUCGGGGAGAUGAGGAAGGACAGUAUCCCCGGAAUAAGGCUCGGCUAACUACGUGCCAGCAGCCGCGGUAACACGUAGGAGCCAAGCGUUAUCCGAAUUCACUGGGCGUAAAGCGCGUGUAGGCGGCUUGGUAAGUUGGAUGUGAAAGCUCCUGGCUCAACUGGGAGAGGACGUUCAAUACUGCCGGACUAGAGAGCGACAGAGGGGGGUGGAAUUCCCGGUGUAGAGGUGAAAUGCGUGGAUAUCGGGAGGAACACCAGUGGCGAAAGCGGCCUCCUGGGUCGCACCUGACGCUCAGACGC
rnacentral:rRNA from 1 species